rnacentral:rRNA from 1 species
ACAGAUCGUUCAGAGUUUCGAUCCUGGCUCAGGAUGAACGCUGGCGGCGUGCCUAACACAUGCAAGUCGAACGAAGCAUCUUAUCUUGAUUUCUUCGGAUUGAUUGAUUUGAUGACUGAGUGGCGGACGGGUGAGUAACGCGUGGGUAACCUGCCUUAUACAGGGGGAUAACAGUUAGAAAUGACUGCUAAUACCGCAUAAGCGCACAGUAUCGCAUGGUACAGUGUGAAAAACUCCGGUGGUAUAAGAUGGACCCGCGUCUGAUUAGCUAGUUGGUGAGGUAAUGGCUCACCAAGGCGACGAUCAGUAGCCGGCCUGAGAGGGUGAACGGCCACAUUGGGACUGAGACACGGCCCAA